ACGAACGCUGGCGGCACGCUUAACACAUGCAAGUCGAACGAGAGAAGAGAAGCUUGCUUUUCUGAUCUAGUGGCGGACGGGUGAGUAACACGUGAGCAAUCUGCCUUUCAGAGGGGGAUACCGAUUGGAAACGAUCGUUAAUACCGCAUAAUAUAAUUGAACCGCAUGAUUUGAUUAUCAAAGAUUUAUCGCUGAAAGAUGAGCUCGCGUCUGAUUAGCUAGUUGGUAAGGUAACGGCUUACCAAGGCGACGAUCAGUAGCCGGACUGAGAGGUUGAUCGGCCACAUUGGGACUGAGACACGGCCCAGACUCCUACGGGAGGCAGCAGUGGGGAAUAUUGCACAAUGGAGGAAACUCUGAUGCAGCGAUGCCGCGUGAGGGAAGAAGGUUUUAGGAUUGUAAACCUCUGUCUUCAGGGACGAAAAAAGACGGUACCUGAGGAGGAAGCUCCGGCUAACUACGUGCCAGCAGCCGCGGUAAUACGUAGGGAGCGAGCGUUGUCCGGAAUUACUGGGUGUAAAGGGAGCGUAGGCGGGAUCGCAAGUCAGAUGUGAAAACUAUGGGCUUAACCCAUAAACUGCAUUUGAAACUGUGGUUCUUGAGUGAAGUAGAGGUAAGCGGAAUUCCUAGUGUAGCGGUGAAAUGCGUAGAUAUUAGGAGGAACAUCAGUGGCGAAGGCGGCUUACUGGGCUUUAACUGACGCUGAGGCUCGAAAGCGUGGGGAGCAAACAGGAUUAGAUACCCUGGUAGUCCACGCCGUAAACGAUGAUUACUAGGUGUGGGGGGACUGACCCCUUCCGUGCCGCAGCAAACGCAAUAAGUAAUCCACCUGGAGAGUACGACCGCAAGGUUGAAACUCAAAGGAAUUGACGGGGGCCCGCACAAGCAGUGGAGUAUGUGGAUUAAUUCGAAGCAACGCGAAGAACCUUACCAGGUCUUGACAUCGUAUGCAUAGCUCAGAGAUGAGUGAAAUCUCUUCGGAGACAUAUAGACAGGUGGUGCAUGGUUGUCGUCAGCUCGUGUCGUGAGAUGUUGGGUUAAGUCCCGCAACGAGCGCAACCCUUACUGUUAGUUGCUACGCAAGAGCACUCUAGCAGGACUGCCGUUGACAAAACGGAGGAAGGUGGGGAUGACGUCAAAUCAUCAUGCCCCUUAUGACCUGGGCCUCACACGUACUACAAUGGCUGUUAACAGAGGGAUGCAAAGCCGCGAGGUGGAGCGAACCCCUAAAAGCAGUCUUAGUUCGGAUUGUAGGCUGCAACCCGCCUACAUGAAGUCGGAAUUGCUAGUAAUCGCAGAUCAGCAUGCUGCGGUGAAUACGUUCCCGGGCCUUGUACACACCGCCCGUCACGCCAUGGGAGUCGGUAACACCCGAAGCCUGUAGUCUAACCGCAAGGAGGACGCAGUCGAAGGUGGGAUUGAUGACUGGGGUG
rnacentral:rRNA from 1 species